CUUUUCAAGUGUUUAUUUUUAUACAUUUUUUUGUAUUAAAAAGAAAAGCAUAAUUACCACAAAUUACAAAGGACUAAAGCAGGACUAGAAUAAUGAAUGAAUCACUUCAGCCUGGAAAGCAGAUACUCUCAAUAAUAUUAAUGUUAUAAUACAAGCUCAUUCAAGUAUUUUACAUUUUUUUGUCCUUUUAAAUAUGAUAUCCUAGCACAUAGUAAAGAUAAUGUACUACGAGCGUAAGGUGGAACCUUCUCCGCAAAGCCAGAUGACAAGUUUUCCUCUCCAUGAACGUGCAGUCAUGCCCAUAACCGACACACAUCCCAGUCCAUGUGGGUCAGUCCUUCAUCACCCUCCCUGCCUUCUGACAACAGCAGACUCCAGCCAUUCCAUUAUCAUUCACAGCCCAACCCAAGCAGUCAGUGGCUGAAGAAAGAGAAUCAGGUAUACUCUAUGUCCACAUAUACCUUCCUGCCACAGGGCUUCACCAACUGGCAGGAUUCCCCCCAGCCCCCAACUCCUCCUCAUCCCUUGUUCCCAGGCGGGUCAAUUGGAGAGUGAGCAGAGAUAGAUGGCUUGCAGAAGGGUAUGCAAGAUGGGGAGACUCCACCAGACCUUAGGGAGAGAAUGGCAUCUUUCUCCACCUUUUAAGAGAGACAGAGCCUCCCUGAGGUCUCAAAGAUUUUUCAGGGCAACACAAGAAACGUUUCCAAGCCUCAGCUGCAGGUGUUCACCUUUCCACUCUGGGGUGUGAGGAGAUGGUAAGCUGAGGACAAGUGUGUUCCAGAUGCAGGCCAACUCUGUUCUCCAACAGUUUGAACCAACUUGGCCUUGGGGUUCCAAGGGUAGGAUGAAGGGUGUCACGGCAGGACGGGGCCUGGCGUGAGGCAACAGCAAGCAGAGCGAGGACACAACAGUGGCAGCAGUGUACAGACACAGGACGUCAGCUUCAAACGAUGCAACAGCAGGGAUAUCUUGGGCACGGCUCUGAUUCGAGCCACUCCCAACUCUCUUGCCUCCAGGAUGGAGGCACUGUACAUGCAACAGUCCAGAGAAAGAUUCUAGCCAGUCCAAGCCCAGGCACAUCCAGAGAAGGUGGGAGCUCUUCGGGUUGACUCCACCGAGGAAAACAGGCAUUUGGGUAUUUCAGAUUCCCGCUCCACAAUAAGGCAACUUUUAAAAAAAUAUUAUUUCCAAAAACAAAACAAAAAU
rnacentral:lncRNA from 1 species